UCCUUAAUAGCUUAAAAGGUAGAGCAAUCGAUUGUUAAUCGGUUUGAUAAUAGUUCGAAUCUAUUUUAAGGAG
rnacentral:tRNA from 2 species